GCCAGACUCACGGUGUAUCAGUGGCAGAACUGAAAUUGAAAACCAAGCCUGUCUGAAUCCAGUAUCUGAUUUCUCAACAACUCCUGCCUCAGAAACACUUGGAACUUUAUGGAGCUUCUACAGCCACAUUCAUAGCAGUAAGUGCUGAGAAUGUGUAGAAGGCCAAAACCAGAGCAGAGUGGACAGAAGCAGAUGGAAGUGGAAAAGCGACAGAAGCAAAUUGCAGAUGAUGAAGUGUGACUGACAGAACCAGUGCCUCAGGGGCUGCAAAUCCAAGUUAAGGGCACCACUGACCCAUGCUAAAGGAAGCCUCCA